rnacentral:rRNA from 1 species
AUGGCAGCAGGCACGAAGGACGACGGGCCAGCGAUCGGCAUCGACCUCGGGACGACCUACUCCUGCGUGGCCGUGUGGCGGCCGGUGCACCAGCGCGUGGAGGUCAUCGCCAACGACCAGGGCAACCUCACCACGCCUUCCUGCGUCGCCUUCACCGAGACCUGGCGACUCAUCGGCGACGCGGCCAUGAACCAGGCUGCCAUGAAUCCCGUCAACACCGUCUUCGAUGCGAAGCGUCUGAUCGGUCGACGAUUCAGUGAAGAGUCCGUGCAAGGAGAUAUGAAGUUGUGGCCAUUCAAAGUCAUUUCAGGCCGCAGUGGUCGCCCGAUGAUCGUGGUGAAGUACAGGGGUGAGGAGAAGCAGUUUGCGGCUGAAGAAAUCUCGUCCAUGGAGCUUGUUAAGAUGAGGGAGACAGCCGAGGCCUACCUUGGCACCACGGUGAAGGAUGCUGUCAUCACCGUCCCAGUCUACUUCAACGACUCUAGUGGCCAGUCCACCCUCGAUGCUGGCGCCAUCGCUGGCCUCAACGUCACACGCAUCAUCAACGAGCCCUCCGCUGCUGCCAUCGCCUAUGGUCUUGGCAAUACUUCUGCUUAUGGCGGAGCAAAGACGGUGCUCACAUUUGAUUUUGGUGGUGGUACCUUGGAUAUCUCUGUCGUCAACAUCGACGAAGGCACAUUUACAGUUAAGGCCACCUCUGGUGACACCCACCUUGGAGGGGAGGAUAUCAACAACCGGAUGGCGGAGCACUUCGUUCAGGAUUUCUUCAAGAAACACAAGAGUGACCUCAGAAGCAGCCCGAAGGCACUUAUGCGGCUUAGGAUGGCCUGCGAGAGGGCCAAGAGGAUGCUGUCUUCCACGGCGCAGGCCAAGUUUGAGAUCGACUCACUCCACAACGGCAUUGACUUCUGUGGGACCAUCACCCGGGCGCGUUUCGAGGAGCUCAACUUGGACCUCUUCAGCAAGUGCAUUAUGCAUGUGGCGAAGUGCCUUGGCGAUGCUGAGAUGGACAAGUCACAGGUCCACGACGUCGUGCUCGUGGGUGGCUCCACCAAGAUCCCCAAGGUGCAGCAGAUGCUGCAGGAUUUCUUUGACGGGAAGAAGCUCUGCAAGAAAAUUAAUCCGGACGAGGGCGUCGCCUACGGCGCUGCUGUUCAGGCCGCCAUCCUCAACGGCGAGUACAACCAGGAGGAGCAGGACUUUCUCCUGCUUGACGUCACGCCACUCUCGCUCGGGAUAGAGAUAGACGACGGUGACAUGUCCGUGGUGAUACCCAGGAACACUACCAUCCCCGGUAAGAUGGACGGGGGUUACACGACCAUCGUUGACAACCAGACUGGGUUAGGCUGA